UACAAGCGCCAUGCACCAGAUUGCUUUGAAAUUCUGGUUGACGAGGAGAAGAGUGAUCGAAAAUUCGGCGGAUGCUCUUCCGCACCCCUUCCUGUGCGAGAUAUACCGGCAAAUAUGCAGGUAACUGCAAAACAAAUACGGUAUAA
rnacentral:ncRNA from 1 species